rnacentral:misc_RNA from 1 species
GAUGAAGAACGCAGCGAAAUGCGAUAAGUAGUGUGAAUUGCAGAAUUUAGUGAAUCAUCGAAUCUUUGAACGCACAUUGCGCCCUUUGGUAUUCCUUAGGGCAUGCCUGUUCGAGCGUCAUCUACACCCUCAAGCACAGCUUGGUGUUGGGCGCCUGUCCCGCCCCCCACGGGGGCGCGGACUCGCCUCAAAUGCAUUGGCGGCCGGCGACCUGGCUUCGAGCGCAGCAGAAACGCGUACUCGGGGACCGGGCGCCCGCUCCCAGAAGCCAACCCACCCAGUUUGACCUCGGAUCAGGUAGGGAUACCCGCUGAACUUAAGCAUAUCAAUAAGCGGAGGA